rnacentral:rRNA from 1 species
CGCGGCCUAUCAGCUUGUUGGUGAGGUAACGGCUCACCAAGGCGUCGACGGGUAGCUGGUCUGAGAGGACGGUCAGCCACACUGGGACUGAGACACGGCCCAGACUCCUACGGGAGGCAGUAGUGGGGAAUCUUGCGCAAUGGGCGAAAGCCUGACGCAGCCACGCCGCGUGAGGGAUGAAGGCUUUCGGGUUGUAAACCUCUCUCAGCAGGGACGAAAAUGACGGUACCUGCAGAAGAAGCUCCGGCCAACUACGUGCCAGCAGCCGCGGUAACACGUAGGGAGCAAGCGUUGUCCGGAUUUAUUGGGCGUAAAGAGCUCGUAGGCGGUUCAGUAAGUCAGGUGUGAAAGUCCAAGGCUCAACCUUGGAACGCCGCUUGAUACUGCUGUGACUAGAGUCCGGUAGAGGAGUGUGGAAUUCCUGGUGUAGCGGUGAAAUGCGCAGAUAUCAGGAGGAACACCGACGGCGAAGGCAGCACUCUGGGCCGGUACUGACGCUGAGGAGCGAAAGCAUGGGGAGCGAACAGGAUUAGAUACCCUGGUAGUCCAUGCCGUAAACGUUGGGCACUAGGUGUGGGGCCUUAUCAACGGGUUCCGUGCCGUAGCUAACGCAUUAAGUGCCCCGCCUGGGGAGUACGG